rnacentral:rRNA from 1 species
AUUGAACGCUGGCGGCAGGCCUAACACAUGCAAGUCGAGCGAGAAAGGUCUUCGGACUGAGUACAGCGGCGGACGGGUGAGUAAUGCGCAGGAAUCUACCUGGUAGUGGGGGAUAACUCGGGGAAACUCGAACUAAUACCGCAUACGCCCUACGGGGAAAGCGGGGGACCGUUCGGGCCUCGCGCUAUCAGAUGAGCCUGCGUAGGAUUAGCUUGUUGGUGAGGUAAAGGCUCACCAAGGCGACGAUCCUUAGCUGGUCUGAGAGGAUGAUCAGCCACACUGGAACUGAGACACGGUCCAGACUCCUACGGGAGGCAGCAGUGGGGAAUAUUGCGCAAUGGGCGAAAGCCUGACGCAGCCAUGCCGCGUGUGUGAAGAAGGCCCUUGGGUUGUAAAGCAACUUUCAAUUGGGAAGAAAGGUUGCGUGUUAAUAGCACGUAGCUGUGACGUUACCUUUAGAAGAAGCACCGGCUAACUCCGUGCCAGCAGCCG